CCGUAGGGACCAGGAGCGGGACCGAUGCGCCCGCAGUGACACCGCGUGUGCCUGCGCUGCGCCACCCGGGACCGCUACAGCCACCCGCAAGGACAGAGAGUCUGCGAGAAGCACAAAGCCUGCAUCCAAAAUGCCACGUUCCUUCCUGGUCAAGAAGCAUUUCAAUUCAUCCAAGAAGCCGAAUUACAGCGAGCUGGACACUCAUACAGUGAUUAUAUCCCCAUACCUGUACGAAAGCUAUCCAGUCCCUAUCAUACCACAGCCAGAGAUCCUGAGCUCAGUAGCUUACAAUCCCAUUACUGUGUGGACUACAACUGGGCUGCUACCGUCUCCAUUACCCAAUGACCUCUCUCCACUUUCUGGAUACCCCUCAUCUUUGGGAAGAGUCAGCCCACCUCCACCUUCUGACACCUCCUCCAAAGAUCACAGCGGUUCAGAAAGCCCCAUUAGCGAUGAAGAAGAGAGAAUCCAGUCAAAGCUUUCAGACCCUCAUGCAAUUGAAGCCGAAAAGUUCCAGUGCAGUUUGUGCAACAAGACCUAUUCGACUUUCUCUGGGUUGGCCAAACACAAGCAGCUGCACUGUGAUGCCCAGUCUAGGAAAUCGUUCAGCUGCAAGUACUGUGACAAGGAGUAUGUCAGCCUGGGAGCGCUUAAGAUGCACAUCAGGACCCACACGCUACCUUGUGUCUGCAAGAUCUGCGGCAAGGCUUUCUCUAGACCCUGGCUACUUCAAGGACACAUUAGAACUCACACUGGAGAGAAGCCAUUUUCCUGUCCUCACUGCAACAGAGCUUUCGCAGACAGAUCCAAUCUGAGGGCUCAUCUGCAGACCCACUCAGAUGUGAAGAAAUACCAGUGCAAAAAUUGCUCCAAAACUUUCUCCAGAAUGUCUCUUCUGCACAAACAUGAGGAAUCUGGCUGCUGUGUAGCACACUGAGUCAUGCAGUCAAUGUUUACCUGGACUUGAUGCAUUUCUCCACUUCUGUUCCAAAUGAUAAGUGGAAAUCCAAAGGCAUUUUCUCAUCUAUUUUUCAGCCAAAAAUAAAAAAAAAAAGCCAAACCAAAAAACAAAGAAACCAAACCAACACACCACCAAACAAGCAAACAAAUAAACAAGCGGAAGAACUUAGAAUGUCAGUAGAAAUGAGCUUUAAGUAGUUUCUGUUCUGCCAUACAUUUGCAUUCUUAAGUGUGAAUUCUGAAAUAGGGGGAAAGAUGCCAUGCAUGACAUUUCAAGUAGAUCUAAAGGAAGAAGCAUUAUCAGCUUUCUUUAUAGAUGAAGCCAAAUGUAGGUCAUCUUUUCUUGCUUAGAAAAGGCUUCAAAGUUAACAAUACAUUCCUGCCAAGCCAUUUCAACCAAAGAAACAGUAUUUUAAGUGGAAAUUUUAAUGAAAAUACUACCCAAGUGAAUUUUGCUAGACACCAUUUAUCUCAGGUGCCUUAAAAAGUAUUCCAAGUUUACCUUAGUAAAUGUUUAAUAUUAUUCAUUGCUGUGUUUUUUUUUUUAUUUUAUUAGAAGCCAAGGCCUUCAUUAAUGACAUGAAAUGCUUUAAAACUGCAUAACUAAAAGAGGGAAAAAAGUAUAAGAGAAUGUACGAAAAAAUUAAAAGCCACAAAUUAACCGCAUGUGCCUUAGAAAAUAAAUUUAAAAAAGACAAUACUGUAGCUUCAAACAUUCCUGGUGCAUGCUUGACCAUCCUUUAAUAUGGAAUAGUUCCACUAAACUUCAUUUUUGUUUUAAAAAACGGGAAUAAGUGCAAGAGAGGGGAUCCACGGGAGUUUUACAAUUAUUUUUUUUAAAUGCACAAAGGAAAUGCAAUAUUUUCAGCAUUACCCCUCCAAGUGCCUUUUUUAUUGAUGAUUUUGUAAAAUAUGUCGACAUAAUGUAAAUAUUUUUAUUUUUAUAUGAUUGAAUGUGUUAUGAAUGAAAGCAAAUUGUUGCCCAUAGCAGCAUCUAUAGAUAACUUGAAGAAAGUGUGAAGUGAAAUUGAUGUUGUUUUCUAGCCACUUUUUUACAAUAAACAUUUUUAAGUAAAAAAAAAAAA